rnacentral:lncRNA from 1 species
AAUACGGAAAAAGUGAGCCGAGGAGACAACGGUGGAGAGCUGGCGAGGCUGCCCGGGGUCGCAGCGGCGGGCGGGUCAGCCGGGGGGCGGGGACCCCGCGCGGGACCCCGGGGUGCGGCGGCGCUGGGCUGGAUGCGCGUGCCGGGGGCCGUGGAUGGCCAUGGAUGGGCCCCGCCGGGCCGCGUAUCUCUCGGGGACCCUGCGGCCAACACUGUCUUUUAGAGCCGGGGAUGGGGGAGUGGAGGGGGCCCUGUUGCCCUAGAGGCCUCGGGACCCUUCCCUUGCCCACCCCCACUCGGGCCGCGGCGGGCAGGAGCAGUCUGCGGAGUUCUGGCCCAUCUGUCACUCUGUCCCGGGACGCUGUGAUCCACGGCGGUGGGGGAGGGGGAAGGGGGAGGGACAAGCAUGGCUCGGGUGAAGUUUUAAACUCUGUUCUUCUCUCUUGCCUUUCUUUGGGGACAUUCUCCCCUUUGGGAUCUGUCCUGGACUUCGCAGGCUGCGAGAACUUGUUGACAAGUGAAAGCUCGGUAGAGCCCCGGCUUGGUUUGUGGUCUGCUUAUUUUUUGCAAAGUGACUGUUCCUGUUUGCGCUGGUCCUUAUCGGUGCCCCUUUGGGGGACUUCGGCACUGAUCAGCGCGCUGACAGCCGCCGUCCGGGCUGCGGGAAAAUGGGGCGCGCCCUCCGGGGGGCGAGUGGCUGUGUCCUUGCUAAUUUCCUCCGUAACCUUUAAACUCUCGCUGGAAGCUACCGCCGCGGCUGGUCACGUGAGGAGAGCCCUGGGCUGCUGGGGAAAAAUUUCCUCGGCUGGGAGCCGGGACCGGGCCGGCGGCCGGCGAGGGACUGCCCCGCGCCCGAGACUGGGAACCUGGGAGGGCAGGGCCGGAGCGCUGGGCCCCGGGGCGCGGCCCAGCUGGGACACCCGCGAAGACGGCGGCGGUGAAGAGGUCGGCUCCGCUGCCGGGGAGCUGGGGAUUAUGCAAAUGGGGAAAGAAAACCUCCGCCCUCGCCCUUCUGCCAAGUCAAGUCUGGGAAUUUGGCAUGUGAUGGAAGGCAGUGGCAAAUAUGGCUUGAUCUUCUGAAAAUGCAUUUGGGAAGCAGAGCCAGCACCAAAGUGAGAUGAGUGAGAUACUUUUCAGAGGCAAAAUGUAAAGGGUACCAAUAAACGUAAUCAAGAUAAAGAUUUAAUACAAUUUUUUAAAAAUAAAAAUGUGAGAAUCCAGAAUGGACACAAUAUCCACAUUUUAAAUAAUUUUAAAUAUUGCACUAAAAUAUUUAUACUACUGAGUUUAUUGGCACCUGUUAAAUUUUGUACCUGAGCCGAGUGCGUCACUCAUCUCACCCUAGUCCUGAUCCUGUUGGGAAGUCUGGAAAGUCAAGGAUUUCAUGGAGUUAGGGAUCCUUGACUAAUUGGUGCUUCAUAUGUUCUCAUUACUUGCUUUGGGUAAGUCUUGUACAGGCAGGAGCCACCAUGCCCAGCCCCCAAAUAUAUUAAAUAGGGUCUGUUACCAUCUCAGUGACUGUCUUAAAACAACCUACAAACUUCCAGCACCAUUUCCUAGCAUGCUGGCUCAGCAGACUGUUACUCCGUGUAAAUCACCAGACUGCAAUUCUCAAGGGCGACCAAUGCUUGUCUCCUUUCCAUUACAGCAACUCUUUUGGAGCAAGGGUAAUAAAAGACUUUGUCAAACAAAAUACAUGUUUUGUAUUGGAUUAAUGUUUACAUAAAAAGGGAGAAUGCUGGUAGUCUGCAUGCAAACACUGCUAGUUUCCUGCCCUUAUUACCUCCUUAUUUCUAAAUAAAUCUCUCGCCUUCCUACUCUCAAACUUGGCCAAAUGAAAAGUUGAAUUCCCCAGGGACAUCAUGGAGAUGCCAGGUCCAAAAUAACCCCCUGCUCCAGGUUUCAUGUGAAAAGAAAAUCCCAAGGAGGGGGCUUAGACGGUAAAAUUCCAAUAGGAAAUUAUUGCCAGCUUCAUCCUUCCCUCAGCCCCUGUCUCCAAUCCCAAAGGAUAAGACAGUGGUUAGCAUAUACAUUGAGUAAAAUGACCUUUGGAUUCCAACUAUGGCCUAGUUAUUUCAUAAUCUUUGUGAGAAGGAAGAAAAUGAUACAAUAAUUUAACAAAGAUGACCAAAAUGGAGCCUUUCUCCUUUCAAAAUUAAGGCUUAUGAGAAAAGAAUAGAACAACAGAUGUGGCCAGGACAGGGCGAUCAGUGUUGCAAUAGGUCUAUGGAUGGGAGUGGCACAGAAGAAGGAUCACCCCUUUGCCUGGGGAGCCUGGGAAGGCAUCAACCAGCAGAAUCCUUUGAGCUGAGUCUAGGCUUUCCAACAGGAGUUCUUCCAGCAGCAAAGAGGGAAGGGAAGGGUACUGGCUGCAAAAAGUAUAAUGUGUACAGGUAGGAAAGCCAUGACUCUUCAGGUAAGCGGCCAGGUGUGCCCCACUUGUGGCAGGUAGUAACAGGAGAUGAAGUAAGUAGGAACCUGAUAGUUAAGACCUCAGAGGGCCUGCAGAUGGGUCUCAACUUUUUCCUGGAGAGACACCAAACAUUCCAGCGGGCAAGCAGCAUAACUAGAGUUAAUACUUUACAAAGGCGAUUUUGUGAUGGAUAAAUAUUUUUCUCUUCUGUAAUUUUCCUCCAGAAGGCUCACCUCAAAACAGGGUAUUAGACAAAGAGAAGAUCCAAGUCUGAAGAUGAUUUACACUCUGUAUAAUCAAAAUUGAAACUGUCUGUGGAUACUGUUUAGAUCAGCUGGAGGAAGCGGGGAAGGGGGAGCCAGAACCGUAGACUAGCGCGUUAAUAUUCAUGUCCCUGUUGCUGUGCUGGUUGUUGCCAUUUAUAGAAUGUUAAUGGGCUUCUGCAAAGGUCUGCCUGGUCAGGGUCUAUCAUACAUUCCACACAUGCUCCGCUGAACAGAAUCCAACCACCUGGGCCAUGGGAUGGAACGCGCAGCAGUAUAAUGACACAGAAACCUUCUAGAGCUCCGCUGGUCCUGCCCCAGCCUAGCCCCCACCCGACCCUGAGCCCCACUUCAAACUUUGCCCCACACCUAUACUCCUGUGGUGGGCUUUUGUCUGCCCUGCCAUGUCUUCUUAUUUUGGCCCCAUCUCAGCUCCGAAUUCUGGCCCCAUCUCUGCUCUAUAUUCUGUUGCAGUGACUCAGGCCAAGCUUCACUUAAUACCUGCAAAGAGGUGGAGGGAUCAGAGGCAGCCCUAUCGAGCUUGCUGAUGGAUGCAGAAGGAGAUGGCCUGGUGCCCCUAUUCCUCAGGGCCUGUGACUGUGAGCCCUACUCACUAGGAUGCCAUUUGGAGAAUAGCAUAACAUUCUUCAUCUUCUGUGGGUCAGAUGUUGGGUUGUGUCUUGGGAUUUUUUUUUUAUAAGGGACAGAGUCUCACUCUGUUGACCAGGCUGGAGUACAGUGACACAAUCACAGUUCACUGCAGCCUUGGCCUCCCAGACUUGAGCAAUUCUCCCACCUCAGCCUCCUGAGUGGCUGGGACUAAAGCCAUGUGCCACCAUGCCCAGCUAAAGUUUUUUGAUUGUUUUUGUAGAGAUGGGGUCUCACUAUGUUGCUCAAGCUGGUCUUGAACUCCUGGACUCUAGUGGUCCUCCUGCAUCAGCCUCCCAAAGUGCUGGGAUUACAAGUGUGAGCCACCGUGCCUGGCCCCUGUCUUGGACUUUUAAGAUCAUAUGUCAAUCCAAGGGUCUUUACUAAGUACUUGCUAUAUAUAGGAUACUAGGGCAGGUGCUCCAGGGAGGAUAAAUAGCUAUAUGGAUAAUCCCUACUCUACCUGGGGAGAUGAGUAGAUCAAUUCAGUCGGUCCUUUAUUUAACAGUCAGUAGUGUCAUGUCAUGUCAUUUGGAGCACUAGGGAAACAAAAAAUGACAACACAAAAUGGCCCUUUAUUAGUCAGGAUUGGCUAGGUCAUGCUGCUGUAAUAAGCUCUCCCCAGAUCCCAACACCUUAAAAGAACAAAGCUUUCUUCUCAUGCAUGCUGUAAGUCUAUGGCAGGUUGGUUGGGAGCUCUGCUUCCCAUUAGCGUCAUUCUCACUUCUGGAUCCAGGCUGGCUAAAAAGUUACCAUCUGGAACAUGGCUGGUCAUGGGCAGAGAGAAAAAGGAUGUCUGGAGGGUCUUACACAGGCAAUUAAAUAGUCCACCUGGUGGCUCAUGCCUGUAAUCCCAGCAUUUUGGGAGGCCCUGGGUAGCAAAACCUCAUCUCUACAAAAUAAAAUAAAAUUAAAUUAAAUUAAAAAAACAUAGCUGAGCAUGGUGACGGGUGCCUGUAAUCCCUGCUACCUGGGAGGCUGAGGUGGGAGAAUUGCUUGAGGAGGCUGCAGUGAGCCAAGAUUGUGACACUGCACUUCAGCCUAGGCAACAGAGCCAGACCCUGUCCCCCACCUGCCCCCCACCCAAAAAAAUCCAUCUGGAAGUGCUAAAUAUCAUUUGUGCCCACUAAUUGUUAGCUAGAACCAGUCUCAGAUCCCGCCUUCCCCAACCACAGGGUCUGGGAAGUUCUACCAUCUGUACUGUCAAGGAGCAUGGAAUGUUUGGUGAAUAGCACUGAAGACUGCCAUAGACACUAUUCUCAAAUGACAGGUGCAGAAAGGUAAUUCAAGGUGGCACACAAUAAAUAACAAAUAAUCAGCCCACUCAGAAAGCACUAUAGGAACUUAGGGUAGCAAUAAUCACAGUAAGAGUCAGACUGUUUGACCGUCCUCCCUCCCUUUUGCUCUGGGCCACUGCAUACAGAAGACUCCAGAUGACAUGGAGAAUCCUGCCUAAUAUCAGAACCAGCAGCCAUCCAAGCUCCUUUCCCCUCCCCGUUAUAUGCUUAACACCUCAUGGGACGUGCAGUUCCUUAAAGCCACUUUAGAACCACGGCAGCACAAAGGAGGCAUUUGGGCCCAACAGAACUGAGAAGACUUACUUGUUAAACUCUGUGGGAUUUGAGGGAUCACUUGGUUUGUUUAAUUAAUUAAUUAAGUUUUUGAAAUGGAGUCUUGCUUUGUCACCCAGGCUGCAGUGCGGUGGCACACAAUCUCGUCUCACUGCUGCAACCUCAACCUCCCAGAUUCAAGCAAUUCUCCUGCCUCAGCCUCCUAAGUAACUGAGAUUAUAGGCACACACCACCAUGCCCAGCUAAUUUUUGUAUUUUUUUUUAGUACAGA